UGGGGAAUAUUGGACAAUGGGCGAAAGCCUGAUCCAGCCAUGCCGCGUGUGUGAAGAAGGCCUGAGGGUUGUAAAGCACUUUCAGAGGGGAGGAGGACUAUUAGGUUAAGAGCUAGAUAGUUGGACGUUACCCUCAGAAGCAGCACCGGCUAACUCCGUGCCAGCAGCCGCGGUAAUACGAAGGGGGGCUAGCGUUGUUCGGAAUUACUGGGCGUAAAGCGCACGUAGGCGGAUUGUUAAGUCAGAGGUGAAAUCCCGGAGCUCAACUUCGGAACUGCCUUUGAUACUGGCAAUCUAGAGUCCGGAAGAGGUUAGUGGAAUUCCCAGUGUAGAGGUGAAAUUCGUAGAUAUUGGGAAGAACACCAGUGGCGAAGGCGGCUAACUGGUCCGGUACUGACGCUGAGGUGCGAAAGCGUGGGGAGCAAACAGGAUUAGAUACCCCAGUAGUCCCUGAGCGGGCUGGCAAGGCGCAU
rnacentral:rRNA from 1 species